CCGUGAUGAACUAACCGUCUGUCGCUGGGAAGAAGCUUAACUUGGGGGAAACUGCCUCGUAAUUAUAACUUUUCAAAGAUAUCUUUUUUGCUUAUGCACUCACCCACCCCGCUUAUGGAAAGUGAGAGUGAGCAAGUAAUAGUUAAUAUUAUUUUAAGCGCCGCCCUGUGCUUAAGCAUGGAGGAGUAGUUUUACUUAUAGGUUUAUAUACCUAUUGAUUUAAUUAAUAUUUUAAAUCUUUUAUUUUUAAAUAAACAUCUUUGUUAAACUAAUUAGUAUCUUUUAACCCAUUUGAGUAACAAUUCUUCAAAAGUCAUAGCAAGGUAGAUUGUACUGGAA
rnacentral:rRNA from 1 species